rnacentral:rRNA from 1 species
UACGUAGGGUGCAAGCGUUAAUCGGAAUUACUGGGCGUAAAGCGUGCGUAGGUGGUUCGUUAAGUCUGAUGUGAAAGCCCUGGGCUCAACCUGGGAAUGGCAUUGGAUACUGGCGAUCUAGAGUGCGGUAGAGGGCAGUGGAAUUCCCGGUGUAGCAGUGAAAUGCGUAGAGAUCGGGAGGAACAUCUGUGGCGAAGGCGACUGCCUGGACCAGCACUGACACUGAGGCACGAAAGCGUGGGGAGCAAACAGG